rnacentral:rRNA from 1 species
UACGAGGGGGGCGAGCGUUGUUCGGAAUUAUUGGGCGUAAAGGGCGCGUAGGCGGUGCGGUAAGUCACCUGUGAAACCUCUGGGCUUAACUCAGAGCCUGCAGGCGAAACUGCCGCGCUGGAGUGUGGGAGAGGUGCGUGGAAUUCCCGGUGUAGCGGUGAAAUGCGUAGAUAUCUGGAGGAACACCGGUGGCGAAGGCGGCAUCCUGGACCGGUAUUGACGCUGAGGCGCGAAAGCCAGGGGAGCAAACGGG